UUUGUAAUGCACAUGCUAAUGUUCUACCCUAAACUUUUUGAAUCAGCAUAUUCAUGGGAAGGGCCUAAUAACUUAUAUUUUCAAAAACAUGCAAAUCAGGAAAAUGCUGACUUACUCUACAUCUCUCGCUUACCUACUAUAAAAAAGAUAUGUGGUGGGGGAUGUUAGUUAGUGCUCUGCUUGCCUAAAGUAGGGGAAGAUGAAGUUUACAAGCAAAAAGAAGACAUAAUUAAGAGACAGUGAGAC
rnacentral:lncRNA from 1 species